AGAUUAGUAGUCAAGGGGGUUAAGACAUAGCACUUUCAAUGCUACAUGCGCGGGUUCAACCCCCGCCUAGUCUA
rnacentral:tRNA from 1 species